CAGUAGUUUCCUGAUAGCCUAAUCUAGUGUUUUGAAGCAUAGAUAUUACAUGAUCAACCAUACUUUGAGUACAAGCUAAAAACAUUGUGGGGAACGUCUGAAUAGUCUCAGAAGGGAUUCUGUUAUGGGGAAGUGAUGUGCUCUAACUGCUUAGUUUUGAUCUGUGUCCUCUAGAAUCGAGUGAAAUUGCCAGAAAGAUGCUCAUGAACACAGUAAUUCCAGUUGAAGCAGUCUGCCUAAGAUCAUAUUGCUUAGCAGAACCAAAAGUGACAUUUCCCAUGGACUUUUUUUUUCUUUAGUUCUGAUCUUUUAUUCAGUGUUACAGUUCCAAAUGUCACUAGGAGUAUCUGGCACACAGUAGAUGGUCAAUUAAUAAUUGGUUGAAUUUGUUGGAUGAAGCUACUAGGAAAAAAACUAUUUCCUUGAUCCAUCACUGUGCCCUGAUACAUUUCUGGGAUAAGAUUAUGGGAGUUUAAGAGGAGAAAGUCUUGGGUUGGAGCUUUAGAUUAAUAAGUGUAAUUAUGUUAAAUCAGCCCACUAAACCAAACAAAAGUGAAAGUUUAUAUACCAUUAACAACUUCCAAGGUCAAAGUCUUGGAUUAUAACUCUCAUCUAAAUGGUGAGGAGGCAGACUUUUAAGUGUUGUAAGAUCUGUAUUACUCUUGCAGACAGUUGAACUCUUUAGGAGGACAAAAUGCUUCCUUUUUUUUUUUUAAUAAUUUAUUUACUUAAUUCAUGAGAAAGAGAGAGAAAGAACCAGAUAUCACUCUGGUACAUGUGCUGCUGGGGAUUGAACUCGGGACCUCAUGAUUGAGAAUUCAGCGCUUUAUCUACUGCACCACUAAUGAUUUCUUUUUUAAAGAAUGUUGCCAGAAUGUACAGAACUGAAAAUGAAGUAAUUGUGUACUCAGUCGGGGAUGGACAUACUUUGACCCAACAGCGCCCACCUCUACCAGCUUGUGCUUGGUAAUCUUUGUGUGUUCUGCACUCCGAAUAGUUUGGAAGAACAGAGACUUAUCUUACAAGGCUGUGAGCAUGAGUGAAUAGGGCAUGGACAUAGAAAGUACACAUGAACAUAUAAGGCAUUUUAGAUUGCGGUAAGUGCUUUGGGAAAUGGUGAAUAGAGGAGAAAUCAAGGUGGUGAUGCUAGGAGAGUAAGGAACUGAUUUUAAGGAGCGUGAUCUCUGAGGUGGGAAGCAUUCCAGAGCACACGGGUGGGGCUGGGGAGGCUUC